rnacentral:lncRNA from 1 species
AUGAGCGGCUUCCGGCCCAGCUCCAGCUCCCGCCACAGUGGGGGAGGGGUGGGAGAGGGCCAGCGGCCUGGGGCACACAGAGGCCGGGUCUCUCUGGGUGUCUUCCCUGUCACUUUCCGUCCCUCUGCCUUCCUUCUCCUCUCCCUCCUUCCCUUCUCCCCUUCUCUCCCUCCUCCUCCCCUCCUCCUCCCCUUCUCUCCCUCCUCCCCUCCCUCCCCCUCCUCCUCCCCUCCUCACCCCUCCUCCCCUUCUCUCCCUCUCCUCCUCCCCUUCUCCCCUUCUCUCCCUCCUCCCCUCCUCCUCCCCUUCUCUCCCUCCUCCUCCCCUCCUCUCCCUUCUCCUCUUCCUCCUUCCCUUCUCCCCUUCCCUUCUUCCUCCUCUCCCCCCUCCUCCCCUCCCCUCCUCCCCUCCUCUCCCUCCCUCCCCUCCUCCCCUCCCUCCCCCUCCUCGCCCCUCCUCCCCUUCUCUCCCUCCUCCUCCCCUCCUCUCCUCCUCCUCCCCUCCCUCCCCCUCCUCCUCCCCUUCUCCUCUCCCUCCUUCCUUCUCCUCUCCCUCCUCCCCUCCUCUCCUUCCUCCUCCCCUCCUCUCCCUCCUCCCCUCCCUCCCCCUCCUCCUCCCCUCCUCCCCUCCUCCUCCCCUCCCUCCCCCUCCUCACCCCUCCUCCCCUCCUCCUCCCCUUCUCUCCCUCUCCUCCUCCCCUCCUCUCCCUUCUCCUCUCCCUCCCCCUCCUCCCCUCCUCCCCUCCUCCCCUCCUCGCCCCUCCUCCCCUCCUCCUCCCCUCCUCACCCCUCCUCCCCUCCCUCCCCCUCCUCCUCCCCUUCUCUCCCUCUCCUCCUCCUCCUCCCCUUCUCUCCCUCCUCCCCUCCCUCCCCCUCCUCGCCCCUCCUCCCCUUCUCUCCCUCCUCCCCUCCUCCUCCCCUCCCUCCCCCUCCUCACCCUUCCUCCCCUUCUCUCCCUCCUCCUCCCCUCCCUCCCCCUCCUCACCCCUCCUCCCCUCCUCCUCCCCUUCUCUCCCUCCUCACCCCUCCUCCCCUCCUCCCCUCCCUCCCCCUCCUCACCCUUCCUCCCCUUCUCCUCUCCCUCCUUCCCUUCUCCCCUUCUCCCCUUCUCUCCCUCCUCCCCUCCUCUCCCUUCUCCUCUCCCUCCCUCCCUCCCCCUCCUCCUCCCCUCCUCCUCCCCUUCUCCUCUCCCUCCUCUCCUUCCUCCUCCCCUCCUCUCCCUCCUCCCCUCCUCUCCCUUCUCCUCUCCCUCCUCCUCCCCUCCUCUCCCUCCUUCCCUUCUCCCCUUCCCUUCUUCCUCCUCUCCCUCCUCCUCCCCUCCCUCCCCCUCCUCACCCUUCCUCCCCUUCUCUCCCUCUCCUCCUCCUCCCCUCCUCUCCCUCCUCUCCCUUCUCCUCUCCCUCCUCUCCCUCCUCCCCUCCUCUCCUUCCUCCUCCCCUCUCUCUUUCUCCCACCCCUUCUCCAGUGCAUAUAA